rnacentral:rRNA from 1 species
CCUACGGGAGGCAGCAGUGAGGAAUAUUGGGCAAUGGGCGCAAGCCUGACCCAGCAAAGCCGCGUGAGGGAGGACGGCUUUCGGGUUGUAAAAUUCUUUUAAGAGGGAAGAGCAGAAGACGGUACCUCUUGACUAAGACACGGCUAACUCCGUGCCAGCAGCCGCGGUAAUACGUAGGUGGCGAGCGUUGUCCGGAUUUGCUGGGUGUAAAGGGCGUGUAGCCGGGCUGACAAGUCAGAUGUGAAAUCCCGUGGCUCAACCACGGACCCGCGUUUGAAACUGGCGGUCUUGAGUAGCGGAGAGGCAGGCGGAAUGCGUGGUGUAGCGGUGAAAUGCGUAGAUAUUAGGAGGAACACCAGUGGCGAAGGCGGCCUGCUGGAUGACAACUGACGGUGAGGCGCGAAAGCGUGGGGAGCAAACAGGAUUAGAUACCCCGGUAGUC